rnacentral:misc_RNA from 1 species
UAUCCGUAGGUGAACCUGCGGAGGGAUCAUUACAGAGUUCAUGCCCUACCGGGUAGAUCUCCCACCCUAUGUUAUUAUUACUUUGUUGCUUUGGCGGGCCGUUAGGCUCCGGCCCGACUACCGGCUCCGGCUGGUAAGCGCCCGCCAGAGGACCCAAAACCCUGAAUAUUAGUGUCGUCUGAGUACUAUAUAAUAGUUAAAACUUUCAACAACGGAUCUCUUGGUUCUG